GAUGAACGCUGGCGGCAUGCCUAAUACAUGCAAGUCGAGCGAACGGACGAGAAGCUUGCUUCUCUGAUGUUAGCGGCGGACGGGUGAGUAACACGUGGAUAACCUACCUAUAAGACUGGGAUAACUUCGGGAAACCGGAGCUAAUACCGGAUAAUAUUUUGAACCGCAUGGUUCAAAAGUGAAAGGCGGUCUUGCUGUCACUUAUAGAUGGAUCCGCGCUGCAUUAGCUAGUUGGUAAGGUAACGGCUUACCAAGGCAACGAUGCAUAGCCGACCUGAGAGGGUGAUCGGCCACACUGGAACUGAGACACGGUCCAGACUCCUACGGGAGGCAGCAGUAGGGAAUCUUCCGCAAUGGGCGAAAGCCUGACGGAGCAACGCCGCGUGAGUGAUGAAGGUCUUCGGAUCGUAAAACUCUGUUAUUAGGGAAGAACAUAUGUGUAAGUAACUGUGCACAUCUUGACGGUACCUAAUCAGAAAGCCACGGCUAACUACGUG
rnacentral:rRNA from 1 species